rnacentral:misc_RNA from 1 species
UGUCAUUUGAAGGGGGAAAAGAAACACCAACUAACAGAAGAGCUGGAUUGCUGCUCCACUCCAACAAUAGGAUGGAUUUUACCACGAAUCAUGUAAUUGCAAAUUGCAAUGUCGGGGAGGCAGCUGGCAUCACCAUGUCUCUAUCACACACAUCAUUUUUUUGUAGUGGUACCAUCAUUUAAUAUCCCUUUUAAUGACUAUGGAAUGUCUUGAGCCACACAUAAAAACCCAUCUUUGUCUUCGGUGAUCGAAAGCUGUGUAUGAAAAGAAGCUUGAAAGACUAUAGCAAAGCUAUCCUCUCGCUUGAAAUCAGGGGAAA